rnacentral:tRNA from 1 species
GCCUAGAUGGCGGAAUUGGUAGACGCGCACGACUCAAAAUCGUGUGUCUUCGGGCAUGUGGGUUCGAUUCCCACUCUGGGUA